AAGGUGGAAUUCUCAGAUUUGUUAAAGACUGACUUAUGCGAAAGCAUUUGCCAAGGAUGUUUUCAUUGAUCAAGAACGAAAGU
rnacentral:rRNA from 1 species